rnacentral:rRNA from 1 species
GAGUUUGAUCGUGGCUCAGGACGAACGCUGGCGGCGUGCUUAACACAUGCAAGUCGAACGAUGAACCACUUCGGUGGGGAUUAGUGGCGAACGGGUGAGUAACACGUGGGCAAUCUGCCCUUCACUCUGGGACAAGCCCUGGAAACGGGGUCUAAUACCGGAUAACACUCUUACGGGCAUCUGUGAGGGUUAAAAGCUCCGGCGGUGAAGGAUGAGCCCGCGGCCUAUCAGCUUGUUGGUGAGGUAACGGCUCACCAAGGCGACGACGGGUAGCCGGCCUGAGAGGGCGACCGGCCACACUGGGACUGAGACACGGCCCAGACUCCUACGGGAGGCAGCAGUGGGGAAUAUUGCACAAUGGGCGAAAGCCUGAUGCAGCGACGCCGCGUGAGGGAUGACGGCC